rnacentral:rRNA from 1 species
GACGAACGCUGGCGGCGUGCUUAACACAUGCAAGUCGAACGAUGAAGCCUUUCGGGGUGGAUUAGUGGCGAACGGGUGAGUAACACGUGGGCAAUCUGCCCUGCACUCUGGGACAAGCCCUGGAAACGGGGUCUAAUACCGGAUACGACGUACUUCCGCAUGGGAUGUGCGUGGAAAGCUCCGGCGGUGCAGGAUGAGCCCGCGGCCUAUCAGCUUGUUGGUGGGGUGAUGGCCUACCAAGGCGACGACGGGUAGCCGGCCUGAGAGGGCGACCGGCCACACUGGGACUGAGACACGGCCCAGACUCCUACGGGAGGCAGCAGUGGGGAAUAUUGCACAAUGGGCGAAAGCCUGAUGCAGCGACGCCGCGUGAGGGAUGACGGCCUUCGGGUUGUAAACCUCUUUCAGCAGGGAAGAAGCGAAAGUGACGGUACCUGCAGAAGAAGCGCCGGCUAACUACGUGCCAGCAGCCGCCGUAACAC